rnacentral:rRNA from 1 species
AGUGAAAGAGGGAGGGAGGAAGAACACAUGCAAGUCGAACGGCAGCACAGUAAGAGCUUGCUCUUACGGGUGGCGAGUGGCGGACGGGUGAGGAAUACAUCGGAAUCUACUUUUUCGUGGGGGAUAACGUAGGGAAACUUACGCUAAUACCGCAUACGACCUACGGGUGAAAGCAGGGGAUCUUCGGACCUUGCGCGAUUGAAUGAGCCGAUGUCGGAUUAGCUAGUUGGCGGGGUAAAGGCCCACCAAGGCGACGAUCCGUAGCUGGUCUGAGAGGAUGAUCAGCCACACUGGAACUGAGACACGGUCCAGACUCCUACGGGAGGCAGCAGUGGGGAAUAUUGGACAAUGGGCGCAAGCCUGAUCCAGCCAUACCGCGUGGGUGAAGAAGGCCUUCGGGUUGUAAAGCCCUUUUGUUGGGAAAGAAAAGCAGCAGGUUAAUACCCCGCUGUUCUGACGGUACCCAAAGAAUAAGCACCGGCUAACUUCGUG